rnacentral:lncRNA from 1 species
GAAGCUACAAGUACAACACAAGAGUUCUAAAUCAAAUAUAGAUAUAGAGGAUAUAUAUGAAAAGAUAUUUGUUUUUAUAGAUUUAUGAAUUAAAAAAAUAGAUUAGAGCAUUUUUAAGUUGGUUCUUAAUAAAUGUGGUACUAAAAGUGAUAUUUAAAGUAGUAUUGAUAGUAAAUAUAUGAUAUAUUGUAAACGUGUGACAAUAUUGAUAGUAAAUAGUAGAUAUAUAAUAAUGUUUAUAGUAAAUUCAUGAUAAUGUUUAUAGUAAAUAUAUGAUAAUAUAAAUAAUAAAUAAUAA